rnacentral:rRNA from 1 species
CCCGAACCGGGUAAUGUUGAAAAAUUAUCGGAUGAGCUGUGGAUCGGAGUGAAAGGCUAAUCAAGUCCGGAGAUAGCUGGUUCUCCUCGAAAACUAUUUAGGUAGUGCCUCGUGUUUGACUACUGGGGGUAAAGCACUGUGUCGGCUAGGGGGUCAUCCCGACUUACCAAACCCAUGCAAACUCCGAAUACCCAGGAGUACAAUCACGGCAGGCAGACGGCGGGUGCUAACGUCCGUCGUCGAGAGGGCAACAACCCAGACCGCCAGCUAAGGUCCCGAAUACCGGUUAAGUGGGAAACGAUGUGGGAA